CACUCUGGAUAGUCAGUAUCGCGCAGCGCGUCGUGCCGUGCAGGUCGGCAGAUCAUUGACUUUGUGUGUUUCUGACGUUAAAUAACAUGAUUAAGUUAAUGACCUUAUUGCACUGUUACACGGGAUAACAUUCCGCCCCGUCGGUCGGAAUUAUUUCUCCCACUUUAGUGAGGUUUCGUCACUGAGGCACUGAGAUCUGUCGCAAAUGUAGGGACCGAGGGUGUGUUAACAGUUUUGUAUUCUAGAAUGAGCGAUGGAUUGCUAUCCCGCAGGAUAAAUCGAGUCGUGACACGGGAUGUGAUAAGCUCAAGACUGUGAAGUGUAACUUCAGGAUGACCCUGACAGGCAGGACAUUCGUUUGCUUACUUAUGGGCUGUAAUGUCGUCGUUUGUCUCGUUGCUGGUGACGGGACUGCUGAGACGUCACGAUACGCAGCACCCGAGGAUUGCUCCUGGCAACCCCUUGGUACUGGGCAUGAAGUAUCCUUAAGCUGCAGUCUAAGGUCAAUCAACAGCGAGUUUGACACUACCAACUUUAGUCUUAUACCAGCUGAGAGAACAGCCAUUCUUGGAUUGGAGUGCGAUCCUGACGUACCGGCUAAAAGUAGUCUGGCUGGCGGUAGUUUUGCACACUUGCAUAAUCUUCGAGAACUUCGAUUGGAUGACUGCAAAUUGUCCAGCUGGCCUUCCGAUGCUCUGGAGGGUUUGAGGAAUUUACGGAAUCUCACCAUCAGGACUCGUAAUGUUGAUUAUCCUGCGUUCAGUCUGGAGCUCUCUCCAAAAGCCUUCGCGGCAGCUGGACAAUUGGAGAGACUCGAUCUAGCUUCAAAUAAUAUCUGGUCCUUUCCCGAGGGAAUAUUCUGCUCUCUCGCUGUCUUGGUCUAUCUCAAUGUCACCGGUAACAGACUUCAGGACGUUACGGAACUUGGCUUUCGCGAGAGCGGUUAUCAACAACCGCAGUCAGUGCUGGUGAACGCGGAUCAGAGGUCGUCGGGUCCUGCCUCAUGUUCACUGGAUAUCCAGAUCCUCGAUGUUUCGAGGAAUCACCUUGUGUUACUUCCACCUAGAGGAUUCUCCACGCUGAAGAGAUUACGGGUGUUGCGAAUAGCUGAAAAUGAAAUUAAUAUGGUCGACGAUAAAGCUCUGGCUGGGUUGCGGAGUUUAGAGAUAUUUGAUUUGUCCGAUAAUAAAGUCGUAGCAUUACCAGCUGAUCUAUUCAAGGAUACUUCCAAGUCCAUCACUGAGAUUCAUCUUCAAAAUAAUUCCCUGAGUGUCCUGGCGCCUGGACUCUUUGAAGGACUUAAGCAGCUAGUCACUCUGGACCUAUCCAAGAAUUCGUUGACGAGCACGUGGUUCGGAUCGAACACGUUUUCGGGACUGAUAAGAUUAGUUCUCUUGGACUUAUCACAUAACAAAAUUGCUUCCUUGGAUCCCGUACUGUUCAAAGAUCUAUACACUGUGCAGAUAUUGGAUCUACAUGAUAAUGAGCUGGAGUCUAUACCAGCCGACACGUUCUCACCCAUGAGCAACCUUCAUACUUUGGUAUUAACAAACAAUAAACUUACUUACUUGGAUGUCUAUUCACUGAACGGUCUCUUCGCACUGUCCUUAUUGGCUCUGGAUUCUAACCUUCUGGAAGGGAUACAUCCCGAUGCAUUUCGGAAUUGUUCGAGCAUGCAAGAUCUCAAUCUCUCGGGAAACAACCUGGACAGCGUGCCCGCAGCGGUGAAUGACAUGAGAAUGCUCAGAACCAUAGACCUGGGGGAAAAUCGAAUCAGGACUUUGGAGCAGUCAGGAUUUCGGGGGAUGACGAAUCUCUAUGGUCUUCGACUUAUCGGGAACGAGCUUGUGAACGUCACGAAGAUGGCACUCACGGAGCUACCUGCCCUUCAGAUACUCAAUCUAGCCAGAAAUAGGAUUGAGAGGAUCGAAACUGGAGCCUUUUCCACCAAUCUGGCUUUACAGGCUAUAAGACUGGAUGCUAAUUUACUUCAGGAUAUCAGUGGCGUGUUUCUGGAUGCACCGGGUUUAUUGUGGCUGAACGUUUCUGAUAAUCUCAUUGAACACUUUGAUUAUAAUUUAUUGCCACGAGGACUACAGUGGCUCGAUCUACGUAAAAACGUUAUAGAUGACCUUGGAAUGGCUCCUGUUGGUCUUUCACUUCAAACUUUAGACGCAUCAUUCAAUCGUAUUACUCGGAUAUCGGCUGCAUCACUGCCUGAUUCUUUAGAAUUACUUUUUCUUAAUGAUAAUUUAUUGCAUACGGUAGAGCCGCACACCUUUGUAGCUAAGGUCAAUCUUUCAAGAGCGGAUCUCUAUGCUAAUCAAAUUGUUAGUAUGGAAUUGUCCGCUUUGCAAUUGGCACCAGUACCGUCCGAGAGGAUUUUACCAGAGUUUUACGUGGGCGGAAAUCCAUUUCAAUGCGAUUGCACUAUGGAAUGGUUACAAAGGAUCAACACUUUGACACUACGACAUCAUCCAAAGGUUAUGGAUCUGACUUCAGUCUAUUGUAGGUUGCCUUACGAUAGAAGAAGACCGUUCGCACCGUUGCUGGAAGUGGCGCCUUCCCAGUUUCUUUGUACGUACAAGACUCAUUGCUUCGCCCUGUGUCACUGUUGCGACUUCGAUGCCUGUGAUUGUGAAAUGACAUGUCCAGCCAAUUGCACCUGUUACCACGACCAGUCCUGGUCAGCCAACGUGGUAGAUUGCUCCCGAGCUGGAUACACGAGUCUGCCUGGAAGACUGCCGAUGGACGCUACCGAAGUAUAUCUCGACGGAAAUGAUUUCGGUGAACUGACUUCUCACGCCUUCAUCGGCAGGAAGAAUCUCGAAGUUCUUUACGCCAACGACAGCAACAUUCUGGCUGUUCAUAAUCACACGUUCAGCGGGCUGCGGCGUCUCUCCGUAUUGCAUCUCGAGAAUAACAAGAUCUCCACGCUGAAGGGUUCCGAGUUCACGGCACUGGAGAGCCUGAAGGAACUCUACCUGCAGAACAACCUUCUAGUGCAUAUUGACAACGGGACUUUCCUCACUCUGAGGCGCCUUGAGGUUCUGCGUCUAGAGGGCAAUCGACUGACUACCUUCGCGGUAUGGCAACUUGCCCAGAAUCCCUACCUAGUGGACAUAGGCCUAGCCGCUAAUCCAUGGAGCUGCGAAUGCUCCUACUUGGCCCGAUUCCGCGAGUGGGUGUCCCUUCACCAGGCUAAGGUAGCGGACUUGGCACGUGUCUCCUGCGCCUUGGGCUCUCCCUUAAACCCAAUAGGGAAUGGUUCCCUAAUAAAUUGUGCGGCUCUUUCUGGAGCCACUCCCGCCGUGGGAACUCGUCCACUUCAAGGUUACAUACCUUUAUUGCUUGCCACGGUAGUAUUAUCCUUCACUCUGGUGGGUCUUCUCUGUGGCGCCCUCCGACAUCGCCGAGCUCUACGUGCAUGGGCAGCAAGUCGUUGUGGACUAAGAGCAUGCUACAAGACUGCUGCCUUCGAGGAAAGUGACAGACCCUUCGACGCCUAUAUCAGUUACUCAGCCAAGGACGAAGCAUUCGUCUCCAGAUCCUUGGCUCCUGGUCUUGAAUCCUCGUAUCGCCUGUGUCUACAUUAUCGUGAUCUCGGUUCCGGUUGUAGUGUCGUCGAUGCUGUAAACGAGGCUGCUGAUUCCUCAAGACGUACCAUCCUCGUUCUGUCUAGGAACUUCCUUCACGGGGAAUGGGCACGUUUCGAAUUUAAAGCUGCCCUCAGAAAUGUUUUACGAGAAAAGGGUCCUUCGGUUAUUCUUCUACUGGUAGGCGGUGUAGGACCUCAGGAUCUCGACGCGGAUCUCCGAAAACGCAUGGCCACCCACACCGUACUCUCUUGGGGUGAAAAAUUAUUCUGGCAAAAACUCAGGUUCGCCAUGCCUGAUCCACCCACUUCUCUUGUUACUCUUGAUCGUGGCUUGCCGCCCGCUCCACUUCCACCACCACCACAUCAUCUAUGGGCGUAGCGGAUGUUUCGAUGCAGAUUCCGAUCGAGGCAUGUGGACUCGCACAAAGGACACGACUGAUUAAUUAGUAAGCCGAGUAACGUCAUACACGAGUAUUCUCACACCGAGACCUUUGGCCACGGGAACGCCUCGAACUCAGCUGCGAUUAUCACACAAUAUACCAGGACAUCUUGCCGAGCGUCUCGUCAGAUGGGUGUUGUGAUUACGAGAAGAACAAGGCGAACAGAAAAUUUUGCGAAAGCGGACACUGAAGAAGUUGGAUGUCCGGUUUGAAUUAUACGAUAGCAAGUGAUUAAAUGUUUUUUCUUCGUAGGAGGAAGUAUCGGCAAGCAAUCGUGCUUGUUGCUGUAUAAAUGUAUAAAUUAUACUCACCAGAUAUAAAGAACUAUAUUAUAUAUUUGAAGAUUUUGAUGAAAAAUAUGUGUAGGGCACUUCAUUUGUAAAUAGCAUUUACUAGAUUAAUGCAGCACGACAUACUGGAAAAAAGGGGUGUUUUUAAAAAGACAGUUCGAAAGUCACGUGGACUUUUUUGUGAUAACGGACAAAUAAUCAACGUUAUUAAAAAGCCUGGUCCUGCUUGGAAAAAAAACCGAUAAGACUUUCGCGAAAGCAGCUUUAACUUUUAUUCGCGAUCGAUCUUGGAAACCAAUCCCAAUUGCUUUGCAUAAAACGGAAACGUUAGAAUUUCCAUUUUGAUUGGAAUCGUGAAUCUGGCACGCGGAAUUACGGGGGACCUUGAUUGACGGCGAAUUUUCUCACACAUCCUAUGCGUCAUACUAAAAAUUCAGACCACAGAUCUAAAAGCUUUGCGAAUCUGAUAAGAAUAUUUUUUGCCAUCAUUUUUUUUAUACUUCCAUCCUAUUCUUUUUUCUUUCUCUUUUCUUCUUUGACAUAAUCGCACUGUACCACUCUAAUUAACAAGUUCUAUAAUGCCGUGAAUUGUAUGUCGCAGAUUUUAUGUGACGUUCGGAGGAGUUAAUCCUAAGGGAAUAAAAUUAUUCUACGAGGAAACAAAUGCACCCAUCGAGUGAACAAUUUUUUUUUUAUAAUAAUGAAAAUACAAAAUAUACGUUAAAGAUAUACACGGUACACGACAUAGUACUAGGACUUCGAAUUCUAAUGCGGAAAUGUCCGUUUAAUCUGUAAAUAUUGAUAUAUGAAUUAGCUUGCUAUAUUUGGUAAUAGUCACGAAUUUUGUAGAUUGUUUCUACUGCGUCGUAUGUGUUGUUUAUUAGAAAGAAGAUGGAAAAAAUGUCAAGAUAAAUUAGAAAUGUAUGUGGAUCACAACCUCUUCUUGUAUUUAUAUUUGAUUAAUAAAAUAUCUUUUCCACUAAUAUGACUGACAUGUAAAAGACAAAAUGUUGAUGAAUAUUUCCGUACUGUUAAUAACCCCUAUUAAAGAAGAGGAAAAUAAUUAUAAUUUAUUAAGGAUAAUACUACUAAUCGAUUUAUGCAAUAAUUUUCAGUACACAUGUAUAAAGCAGUCAUAGAAUGAGUCAAUGCAAAAGAUUCUUGUUUAUUAUACAUAUACGAAACUUAAAAAAAUAAAAAAUAGUCAAAUUUCUGGGUAAAACAGAACGAUACUGAAUUUAAUGUUUUCCUAAGUUAUUAAUGCUAGGAGAGGUUUAUUUCCGGAAAUCGAGCGCCUGACCAGAACCUAGUUGGGCCUGUAGGGUCUAUAGCGAGGCCCGAAGAGAAAUUUCCACUAGAGAAAUUCGCAAAUUCAGAUGAAUUUUAAAGUAAAUAACGACACUGUGUUAUAUUUGCCUCGAAAUGAAGUUGUGCAUAUUGCAUAGGUGCAUACUUCUAUGUUAUUGCAUAAUAUUAUAUAUAUACAUAUAAAGCGUACUACAGUGUGUAUUGGUAAAUACGCGACGAACGCUCGCUUAGAUUACAAAAAUGUGGCAAAUUCAUUUUUUCAAAAUUGAUUUCUCGCAGUCAGAUCGCCACGACUGGACCAGUGACACCGAAAAUAAAAAAGAAUUCUCUCAAAAUAAUGAUUUUGUAGAAAAUGGAGGUUUCAAAUCACCAGCCAAGUCUUAGAAAUAAUAUUGUCAAACGUUUCGUAAUAAUGUUACGGAAGAAACCUCGAAUUCUGAAAAGCUACCGGAAAUUUGAAAAUUUUUUUAACUAAUGUAAGCCGGCUAACAGAAGUAGAUGUGGCAAUGCCAAAAUUGUAUGUGAAACGAAAAAUGGAGAAUGAACGGGACUGACUGAAUGGUCACAUAGACACGUAUGUGUAAGUAUCUGUGUGAGAAUGAGCAAAAGCAGAAAGGACGAGCUUUUAUAUUUUUAGCGCAAAUCGACUAGAAAGUGUUGGAUAGUAUGGUAAAAAAAGAGUUACGCUACUGUAAAUAUUUAGGAUUGCUCCCGAAUUACACACAUAAUUAAUGAAAAAGUCCCAGUCUAUCUUUUUGGCACACGGGGACUCUUUGCAAGGCUGCAAUUUCACGAAGAUUUCAAAGUCAAAUUUCUCAUUUAACAUUUUCUUGGGGUCUGGCAGCUGCGAGUCACUUAAACAAAAAUACUAAGAAACAAUUCUUCGUUUUAACAAUAGUCUGAUAUAAGAACCACACACACACAUGAUAUCCAAAAAAAAGCAUUGCAUUUACUCUUCAUUCUUGUCAAUUAUUACAAUUAUAAAAAUCCGAAAAUUCACUUGCACUAUUUCGUACAUUCAUCUAACUCGAUGACAGCAUCAAUUGACAUUUUUGAAAAUAUUGGGUAGGUAUAUCGAAAAUUUUAUUUUCAGGCACGAGUACCAAAUAUACGUACUAUAUUUUGAAUGAAAUCCAAAUAGGAAAAGUCUAUACCAGAUUUGCUAAAGUGGCGCGAGUUUCCGGUUGCCUGUAAACGACGGGAGCUCAGGUGAAUAAUAGUUGUUAAUGUUGCUGGUAAUUGGCACGUCACCAUUACUGUAACACAAUGUAUUUCAUUUAUAACAAGAUAAUAAAGAAUUUCUAGUUACUU